rnacentral:rRNA from 13 species
UGUUCAAUUAAAACAAGCAUUGUGAGGAGUUGACGCAAUGUGAUUUCUGUCCAGUGCUCUGUCAACGUGAAUGAAUUGAAAAAAGACACAAAAGCACGGGUAAACGUCGGGAGUAACUAUGACUCUCCUAAGGGGUGGGUAUGGGUU